rnacentral:rRNA from 1 species
UACGUAGGUGGCAAGCGUUGUCCGGAUUUAUUGGGUUUAAAGGGUGCGUAGGCGGCUUUAUAAGUCAGUGCUGAAAUAUCCCGGCUUAACCGGGAGGGUGGCAUUGAUACUGCAGAGCUUGAGUGAAGUCGAGGUAGGCGGAAUUGACGGUGUAGCGGUGAAAUGCUUAGAUAUCGUCAAGAACACCUAUUGCGAAGGCAGCUUACUAAGCUUUAACUGACGCUGAUGCACGAAAGUGUGGGGAUCAAACAGG